ACGCUUUUUCCUAAAGAUUAAGCCAUGCAUGCCUAAGCCUAGGAGGGUAGCAAUACUCUCAGAAUCUGCGAACGGCUCCGCAAACCAGUUGCAAACUCGAGUAAGCUCGCUUGACCACGGACCCUCACGGGUCCAGGUCAAGCUACAUGGAUAACCCUGGUAAUUCUGAGGCUAAUACAUGACAGUAAGCAAGCUCGGCCAGCAUCAGUUUCCUCGGAAACCGCUGACCGGGUGGACGUGUGAUAAACGGCUUGGGAAACCGUGACAGAACG
rnacentral:rRNA from 1 species